rnacentral:lncRNA from 1 species
UCUUCAGAAAUUCAGGCCUUGUGGACAAGGGGAAUUGAGUGGUCUACCAUGUUCCGCUAACCGUAGUCGCGUACCGAGUUAAGAGUUACUCCUCCAACAAUAAUUUCCAUGAUUUCGGUGGACCAAUGGGUCCAAUCCUUGUGCCCCCGCCUUCACGGAAACACCAAUUAUAGUUUAGAAAAGGACUCGAUGCCAAAAGAUGAAGCAUUUCACAGUAUGCAUCCUCCGUGUUGCUGGUAGAUUAUUAGCCUACUGUUCCCGUCCUCAUUACAGAGUUUGGCCGGUGACCAGCUGUGGCAUGCCAAGUCAAGUCAAGUCAACUGAAACUCUUGAAUGCCAUGAGAUGCCUAAGUGAGAAAAAUCAUAAUAGGCAAGUAGGAGAUGAUAGCCAUAAUUGGUGAAACUUUUAUCAGGAUUUAGAGUUCAGAGUUUCAAACUAACGGAAGACGCCUUCUGUAUUAAGGGACAAAUAAAUUUCAGUGUUUUCUCAGUUCAUAAAUAAUUCUGUAAGCAGAUUGGCACUUCUUAUUUAAAAUAUAUCUUAACGGUAAUUUCGUAAAGACGAAACAAUCAUUCUAGAAAGAUCGGAACAGUUGCAGUAGAGGAAAAAGCAUUCAGAAAUAAUACCUUUUUUUCUGCUUUGUCUUGCUUCAAGUUUAACUGUCCGCACGGAGACCUUUCAGUGCAUGACAAGGAAAUAUCACUAACAUGGAGAGGAAAUUGACCAAUUCAAUCCCAACCUCAUAGACUGCUCCACACAAAAUCCAAUUCAUGGGCAUGAUUUUCCAUGUGCCACACUGUUCCACGAAGAAGACGCGUGAGGAGACUAACCACUGUUAAGUGCCAUUCUCCAAGGGACAUAAGCUUGCUCUCAUCAGUAGAGGCACCAACCAAAGCACAAAAGCAAUGGCACAUCACCUCCCAUGGCGUUUCCUCCAGUUCUUGCUACUGCUGCUGGGGGUUUC